GCGUCUGUUACCGAUAAUGGCACUGGUAGAAUUCACGGUUAGCGCAGUUCUGCUCACGUGAUGCGUGACACGUGACCGUGGCUUCCCCGGUGUCAUACUUGGUGCCAGACUC
rnacentral:pre_miRNA from 1 species